UGCAAGUCGUGCGCGAAAGCCUUCGGGCGAGUAAAGCGGCGAAAGGGUGAGUAACACGUAACCAACGUACCCCCCAGACUGGGAUAACCUUCGGAAACGAAGGGCAAAACCGGAUGGACUAUCCAUGAGGCAUCUCGAGGAUAGUAAACGGCGGCUUCGGCUGCUGCUGGAGGAGCGGGUCGCGGCCUAUCAGCUUGUUGGUGAGGUAACGGCUCACCAAGGCAUUGACGCGUAGCGGGUCUGAGAGGACGAUCCGUCACAUUGGGACUGAGAUACGGCCCAGACUCCUACGGGAGGCAGCAGUGGGGAAUAUUGCGCAAUGGUCGAAAGACUGACGCAGCGACGCCGCGUGUGGGAGGAAGCCUUUCGGGGUGUAAACCACUGUCAGAGGGGAAGAAUCCCGAGUGUUCGAAUAGGGCACUCGAUUGACGGUACCCUCAGAGGAAGCGCCGGCUAACUCCGUGCCAGCAGCCGCGGUAAUACG
rnacentral:rRNA from 1 species